rnacentral:tRNA from 1 species
GGGAAGGGCGCGUGGAAACACCCCUGAUAAGCGUGAGGUCGGUAGUUCGACUCUACCCAGGCCCA